GGAAACAGUAGAGGAAUUAACAAUGAAACUAGAUCUGCAGCCAAUAUGAGGGUACUGUAACAGUGAGCUUUUAUUGGUGGGAAUUGGGAGAGGUAGAAAUAACUUGGAGAACAGUGGAAGUGGAGUUAAAGGUUGUACCCCCUUCAUCUCUCAGAAUUAGUUUUGUGUCUAGAGCCUCAUUAUUGUUGUGUUUGCAUCACAGCUCUGAGGCAAACAAAAAGCAUCCCAUUGGUUCCACCCCUCCUCAGUGCCUACUAUCCUGCUUCCACUCCACAAAAAUGACUAUUUCUAUCCUCAUAUAUAGUGGGUCCCACUUUUUCAUUUUUGUCCACUGCAAGUUCUACAUGAAAUUAAAAAUAAUAAAAAAGAGAAGCAUAAGCUAAACUGCACCCUUCUGUAUUACAAGUCUAUGUCCUAUAACAACAUUAAAAAAAAAAAAAAAAAAAAGAGAAAACCCUCCUGUGAUAAAUCUUUAUGUUGGGGUCAAUAAAGCAAUAAUACUGUACGAUGGAAACUGAUAAUUUACAAUAAUGACUGAUUUAUUACUUCAUUCACUUGUCCUUAUCUUUCUCUUAGGGUGGUUUACUGUGAGCGCUUGUUAACUAACAUUAUGUACUGUUUCUUGGGAGAAAUACUUAAAUAAGAGACUGUAAAUUAUCAACAAGUGUGAGAUAACUUCAAGUCCUUCAGUCUACCUGGAAUAGGAAGUUUGUAACACCAAGAAAACAUACAUAAUUAGAUCAUUUUUGGUUGUUAUGAUAUGUAAGACAACAUUCAAUUAUGUAUGUCACUGAAAGUAAUGCUUCCUAUUUAUUCCCCUUGAAAUUACAACAGAUACAAAGAGCAAAAUAACACUGCUUGGUAGUGCAAAUUCACAGCUACAAAACACUGUUCUUCAACACAGUCACUGCCAUUAGCUGUGCAUUUUUGCCAGAGAUGAACAAGGGCCUGCAUGGUAUGCUCAUGACUAUCAACACCAAGUGGAGUUGACCCACUGUCACUGUUGCCACUGCUGAAAUGUACCACCCAGCACCUCACUAUGCUCACCCACUUUUUGGUCUCCAUCAGCAUUCAGCAUGUGUCAGUGAAUGUCAGUGUGCGUGAUUCUUCUGUAUGGAAGAACUCAGUGGCACCUUUUCUUCAUAUGCACUUCUGUGUCAGAUGCCAGCCUCUGAAGUCAUGGGUCAACAUAAUAAAACAGGAGCAGUCCUUGUAUAUGAAAGUAAAUACAAUGAGUAAAAGAGAGUCGAUACUUACAGGUUUAAAAAAAUUAAGCCUUCAGGACAUUAAGAUUUUCAUUUGCCUGCAAUGGGUGGGAAGUGCUGAAUUCCUGGGAGUUGAUACCUCUAGCCAGCUGAGACCUGGUACAGCACUUCUUCUCUGACUGUGUUGUGGGAGACACGUUGCGGGAGAGUAGAGGAUGGUGCUGGGAAGAACUUCAAAACUUUAUGAAGGGAUGUCUGAAACUGGUAAGGAGUGUCUCAAAUCAACAUGUGGCAAUCAACAUCACUUUGUGGACAGUUGUACAUUUGAAAGCAUUUCUUUGUAGUUGUUUGCCUUCGAAAGGGAGAGCUCAGGAGUGUUUAUUGGCUGAAGUCUUGGCCUGGGAGCAGAUGAAACCAGCUUGAUACUAGAGAAUAGAAGAUGGUACCAUUGUAUCCUGUGCAGGCAAUUUACAAGCUGGCCUCUCUCUGUUUCCUUUUAUCUGCUGACUUAAAUUUGCAAUGCUGGGAAGACAGGAACAAAGGAGUUCCUGCUGAGAUUCCGAAGCCAGAAGUUGUCACUCCAAAAGAGCUGGCUUGGCCACUUCAAACUAUAAGUAACAGCUUGUACUGUCAUCAACUGAACAACACAAGGUUGAACGACCAGCCAUUACUGAAGAUCAGCACCUGACACCAAGACAUCGCUGGAUCAAAGAGUGGUGAACCGCUUUGUUUUGCUGUGUUUGCGUAUCUGUUUGUCUGUCUCUUUCCUCGUUUCCUAUCUUUUCACUUAUUUUCUUUUAUUCUUUUACUCUUUGUAGUAGUCAUUACCUAAAAUUGUCUUACCUGUAAUGCUUAUUAAUUGUAAUUAGCCAAUUAGCCAAUUUUACCUUCAAGUAGUUGUUGUUAGUUGUUGUUAAGAAAGCUCUCAAUAAAUUGAUGUUUAUUGAUGAUAAUUGAUGUUUAUCGAGGAAUAAUUGAUGAUUAUUCCUCUGAGUCUUGGAUGACUCCAUUGUGGUAGUGAUCCCUUGCUGACAAGGGGAGGUGCUAUUCGGGGGAUAGAAAAAGAUUCACCUCCCUCAAAACUUAUUGAGUGGGAUGAGACAAAGUAGGUGGUACAAUUCUCAGUGGUAGCAGAGCACAAGACUCAGAGACUCAGUAACUCCUGUCCCAGUCCUGUUAUGUUGGGCCCAUAAGAACCUAAUGAGGUUCAGUAAGGCCAAGUGCAGUCCCAGGUGUUUAUACAGACUGGGGGAAAAUCUCCUUGAGAGCAGCCCUGCGGAGAAGGACCUGGGGGUCCUGGUGGAUGAGAAGCUGGACAUGAGCCAGCAGUGUGUGCUUGAAUCCCAGAAGGCCAACUGUGUUCUGGGCUGCAUUACAAAAGGGGUGGCCAGCAGUCAUGGACUCCGUUGCUGGUGCAGAAUGAAGACCUUUGCUGUACGUGCUUACAACCUUUUAUACCCAUGCAACAACCCCUUAGCCACAUGUACCAACCAGGCACCUUGUGCGUGUUUAUGUCUGGUGCAAGUAGCUACCAAGCUUGUUUAGUCAUUUGCAAGGUAGUGACUUUCUUUGUCCCACAGGUGAUUGUGCCCCUUCCUUAUUAAUUUGAGCAACAAGCAUUUGGUAUUAAUAUAAAGAUUAUAUACCAACAAACAUGCAAAAACAACAGAAGAAAAAACCACAUCAAUCUGCAUGAUCUCUCAGACCCAUGGUCCCAAACCUUGAUAACACCCAACAAACUAAACCAUGAAUUUUUGACAUGCAGCUUUUGCCCCUAAAAUCAAGAUUUUUCUGAGGUAGUUGUCACACUGCUUUACGCUGAGAUAUUGGCUGUAGAAUCCACUAUCUGGUUGCCUCCCUAGGCUUUGGAACCCCAAAGGUUGUCACAAAUCUGAAGAAGCAGCAGGAGAUGUUAAUGGUACAGUCAAGCAAGGCUUUAUGCCUUUGGCUGGAACCCGCUCCAGCACCUGUGGAAACACAAGCAUAAACUCUUCCCAACAUUAUAAUUGUCCAAAAAUUUAAAACAUUAGGAACAUAGCAUGCUUUAGCUAUUCUUUCCUCAGGGGUCAUACCUGCACUCCCCCUUUUUUUUUUUGUUUUUUUUUUUUUUGUUUGUAGGGAAGUCUUUUAUUAUUUUUUUUUAAAUCACUGAAAUUACAUAUUCAGAACUAGAAUUAUGAAAGCCAGGCAGGUGCAGGUAAGACAUACAGUUGUAAGUAUACAUAUUACAUUCUUAAACACCAGAAGAUAUUCAGCCAGUCAACCAAAUAUGAGAAAACUUCCUACAUUGCCAAUCUACUGCACAUGAAUGCAUGCCAUUUUAUAGCAAAUACUGUUUUCUAAUUUAGAAUGCAGACACAGCACAACUUUCAAACAUACGUUCAAUGUUGUGUGGCCUACCUUAGAAUUUUCUGGAGCACUGAACAACUGCUACAGCAGCUAAAAGGUUCAGAAAAAUACACUGCAACAAUGCCAACAGCUGGAAUGAGUGAGACUCCAAACACCAGCAUACAUCUGAACAGCAGUGUUCCAUAGCUCCAGCUCCCACGCGCUGACAAUCACCAAGACUGGAGGUUUGAUCCUCCUUCUCUUGUGGUGGUGAACGAGCUAUGGCUUGGGGUCUGCAUGCUCUGCUCUGAGUUGCUGAGCUCCAAUAGCUUCCACUCCAGCACCUUUUAUUAUGCAGAUUCUCUCCAAAAGCCCAUCCACAUCAUGUAUUGAGUAAUGAUUAAAAUCAAUUGUGCCAAGGUCUUGCAAUCACGAAGACAAAGAGUGUAACUUUUCAUAACAGAGCUCAACAGAUUACUGGUAUAGGGGGAGUCCAGCCCAAAUUCAAGAACCGCUUUCCUGAGCUCUUUUAUUGUUUGUAAGCUUAUACCCUCCCAUGUCGGGUGCUUAUUAGGUUCAUAAAUUACAGGGCAGGCAAGAGCUGAAUGCAACCUCUGGAUCAUGCCAAAAUCCCCCUCCUGCUCCGCUUCUUUGCGGAUCGCAUGCCAAACAUCAUGUGGAUCAGGGGGUGACAGCGGCUUCCACCAUAGGAGGAGCAGUGGGCUCUAUUGGGAUGGUGGAUUCCACAUGUUUUUUUAGUGAUUCAAAUACCGAUCUUCAAGGCCCCAGAGGGUCUUUAACCACAGGGUCAGAGCAUGUAGCUGCGUCCCACUCUGGCUUUGCCCCACGUUUCUAUGUCAUAGGUCAUAGCCCCAUCUACUCCUUCUACAUUACAAGAGACUCACAGGAAAAGUUGCCUUAAAUUGAAGCUUUCCACUUUAGAGUGGUGCUUCUGCAAAAUUGUUUCUAUUGUUUUGCAAACCGCCUCCUGCUCCUUUGUUAUGCCUGUUCCCAUUGUUCCCCGUUGCUCACCUUUGUCCUGCAGAAGUGAUUCUGGAUGGGCAGCCUGGUCCUGCUUCCCCUCAGCAGUUUGCAGGUCCAACUUCCUUUCAGCAGCCCUUGGGUUGUGCUUCCUCUCAGCACCUCUGAUUUCUGCUUCCUUUCAGCAGUUUUCGGGUCCAACUUCCAUUCAGCAGACCUAAUUCUUUGCCAGUGGUCAGCUUGAUAGCUGAUUAUAUCCUGAGGCUGACCCUGAUACAGGGUCCCUGUUUGGGCACCAUUUGUGGCAGAGGAGUCACAGACUCCGCUGCUGGUGCAGAAUGAAGACCUGUAUUGUAUGUGCUUACAACCUUUUAUACCCGUGCAACAACCCCUUAGUCACAUGUACCAACCAGGCGUCUUGUGCGUGUUUACGUCUGGCGCAAGUAGCUACCAAGCCUCUUUACUCAUUUGCAAGGUAAUGACUUUCUUUGUCCCACAGGUGAUUGUCCCCAUCUACUCGAUGCUUGUGGGGCCCCAUCUGCAGUAGUGCAUCCAGGCCUGGGGCCCCCAGUACAGGAAGGACACGGAGCUCUUAGAGCACAUCCAGAGGAGGGCCACGAAGAUGAUCAGAGGGCUGGAGCACCUCUGAGUGAAGGCAGAGACCCUAGGCUGGUCCCUGUACAGGGGGGGACCCUGUGCAUGUACAGGGGAUCCCCUGUGUCAGUACAGGGGGGAUCCCCUUCUAAGAAAUUAAAGGGGGGAAGAACCCUUACUUCAGAGGUGGAGUUUGGGAAGUGGUUUACUUGAAAUAGGCAGUACUUGGGAGGAGUUAGGUAGAAAGGGGGAAAGCUUUUGCUUAUCAAAAGCACACUGCAAAGGAGGAAGCUCUUGGAAUUCCAGAUCUGAAGCCUUCAGAUAAGAAACCGGGCCAAUCACCACAGAAGAAAUCAUAUUCAAAAAGACCUGACUAUACACAGCGCGUGUCCAAGAAGGAGUGAAAAACAAGAAGACAUUCACGGAAUUAGUUAGCAUUGGAUGACCCACUGUCUAGAAUGAGUUAGCAUUACUUGCUUUGCAGAAUUAUGACUGUGCAUAUUGUGUGGUAUAAAUAUGACUGCUUGAGAGCCACUAGUUGUGCAGCUGGGGCACUGUGAGCCCACCCAUGUGCCGGUGUAUACACCUUAAAAAACUACCUUACAUUCUGACUCUUGUGAGUCUGACUGCUGUUCCACAGGUCACCUCUCCUAUGAGGAAAGGUUGAGGGAACUGAGCCUGUUUAGCUUGGAGAAGAGAAGGCUCCAGGGAGACCUCAUUGCGGCCAUCCAUGACUUGAAGGGAACGUAUAAACAGGAGGGGGCACAGCUGUUUACGAGAGUGGAUCGUGAUAGGAGAAGGGGGAAUGGUCUUAAAGUGAGAAAGGGGAGGUUUAGGUUAGAUAUUAGGAGGAAGUUUUUCACACAGAGGGUGGUGAGACUCUGGAACAGGUUGCCCAAGGAGGUUGUGGAUGCCCCAUCCUUGGAGGCAUUCAAGGCCAGGCUGGAUGUGGCUCUGGGCAGCCUGGUCUAGUGGUUGGUGCCCCUGCACAUAGCAGGGGGGUUGAAACUAGAUGUUCACUGUGGUCCUUUUCAACCCAGGCCAUUCUAUGAUUCUAUGUAUCCAAG
rnacentral:lncRNA from 1 species